rnacentral:rRNA from 1 species
GUGUUUCUUGCCGGAGGUAGAGCACUGGAUAGGCGAUGGGCCCUACCGGGUUACUGACCUUAGCCAAACUCCGAAUGCCGGUAAGUGAGAGCGCGGCAGUGAGACUGUGGGGGAUAAGCUCCAUGGUCGAGAGGGAAACAGCCCAGAGCAUCGACUAAGGCCCCUAAGCGUACGCUAAGUGGGAAAGGAUGUGGAGUCGCAGAGACAACCAGGAGGUUGGCUUAGAAGCAGCCACCCUUGAAAGAGUGCGUAAUAGCUCACUGGUCUAGUGAUUCCGCGCCGACAAUGUAGCGGGGCUCAAGCGUACCGCCGAAGUCGUGUCAUUGCAGCAUAUAGGGCCAACGCCUGCUGUGAUGGGUAGGGGAGCGUCGUGUGCCGGGUGAAGCUGCGCCGGAAGGCAGUGGUGGACGGUUCACGAGUGAGAAUGCAGGCAUGAGUAGCGAUUCACACGUGGGAAACGUGUGCGCCGAUUGACUAAGGGUUCCUGGGUCAAGCUGAUCUGCCCAGGGUAAGUCGGGACCUAAGGCGAGGCCGACAGGCGUAGUCGAUGGAUAACCGGUUGAUAUUCCGGUACCCGCUGUGAAGCGUCAAACAUUGAAUCCAGUGAUGCUAAGGCCGUGAAGCCGUUCCGGACCCUUCGGGGAAAGGAAAGUGGUGGAGCCGCUGAACCGAUCUGGUAGUAGGUGAGUGAUGGGGUGACGCAGGAAGGUAGUCCAGCCCGGGCGAUGGUAGUCCCGGGGUAAGGGUGUAGGGCGUUGUCUAGGCAAAUCCGGACAACAUGAGCCUGAGACCUGAUGCCGAGCCGAUUGUGGUGAAGUGGAUGAUCCUAUGCUGUCGAGAAAAGCCUCUAGCGAGUUUCAUGGCGGCCCGUACCCUAAACCGACUCAGGUGGUCAGGUAGAGAAUACCGAGGCGUUCGGGUGAACUAUGGUUAAGGAACUCGGCAAAAUGCCCCCGUAACUUCGGGAGAAGGGGGGCCAUCACUGGUGAGAGGACUUGCUCCUUGAGCUGGGGGUGGCCGCAGAGACCAGCGAGAAGCGACUGUUUACUAAAAACACAGGUCCGUGCGAAGCCGUAAGGCGAUGUAUACGGACUGACGCCUGCCCGGUGCUGGAACGUUAAGGGGACCGGUUAGUCACAUUUCGGUGUGGCGAAGCUGAGAACUUAAGCGCCAGUAAACGGCGGUGGUAACUAUAACCAUCCUAAGGUAGCGAAAUUCCUUGUCGGGUAAGUUCCGACCUGCACGAAUGGCGUAACGACUUCUCGACUGUCUCAACCAUAGGCCCGGUGAAAUUGCACUACGAGUAAAGAUGCUCGUUUCGCGCAGCAGGACGGAAAGACCCCGGGACCUUUACUACAGUUUGAUAUUGGUGUUCGGUUCGGCUUGUGUAGGAUAGCUGGGAGACUUUGAAGCGGCCACGCCAGUGGUUGUGGAGUCGUCGUUGAAAUACCAGUCUGGUCGUGCUGGAUGUCUAACCUGGGUCCGUGAUCCGGAUCAGGGACAGUGUCUGAUGGGUAGUUUAACUGGGGCGGUUGCCUCCUAAAGAGUAACGGAGGCGCCCAAAGGUUCCCUCAGCCUGGUUGGUAAUCAGGUGUUGAGUGUAAGUGCACAAGGGAGCUUGACUGUGAGACCGACGGGUCGAGCAGGGACGAAAGUCGGGACUAGUGAUCCGGCGGUGGCUUGUGGAAGCGCCGUCGCUCAACGGAUAAAAGGUACCCCGGGGAUAACAGGCUGAUCUUCCCCAAGAGUCCAUAUCGACGGGAUGGUUUGGCACCUCGAUGUCGGCUCGUCGCAUCCUGGGGCUGGAGUCGGUCCCAAGGGUUGGGCUGUUCGCCCAUUAAAGCGGUACGCGAGCUGGGUUUAGAACGUCGUGAGACAGUUCGGUCCCUAUCCGCUGCGCGCGCAGGAACAUUGAGAAGGGCUGUCCCUAGUACGAGAGGACCGGGACGGACGAACCUCUGGUGUGCCAGUUGUUCUGCCAAGGGCAUGGCUGGUUGGCUACGUUCGGGAGGGAUAACCGCUGAAAGCAUCUAAGCGGGAAGCCUGCUUCGAGAUGAGUGUUCCCACCUCCUUGAGAGGGUAAGGCUCCCAGUAGACGACUGGGUUGAUAGGCCAGAUCUGGAAGCACCGUAAGGUGUGGAGGUGACUGGUACUAAUAGGCCGAGGGCUUGUCCUC